rnacentral:rRNA from 1 species
CGCUGACUUAAGCAUAUUAAUAAGCGGAGGAAAAGAAACUAACAGGAUUCCCUAGUAACGGCGAGUGAAGCGGGAAGAGCUCAAGCUUAAAAUCUCUAUGCAAGUUUUGCAUGGCGAAUUGUAGUCUAUAGAGGCGCUGUCAGUGCAGCUAUUUGGGAUAAGUUCCUUGGAAGAGGACAGCAUCGAGGGUGAUACUCCCGUUUGUGCCUGAGUAGCUUGUGCGUACGACACGUUUUCUUUGAGUCGCGUUGUUUGGGACUGCAGCGCAAAGUAGGUGGUAAAUUCCAUCUAAAGCUAAAUAUUGGUGCGAGACCGAUAGCGAACAAGUACCGUGAGGGAAAGAUGAAAAGAACUUUGAAAAGAGAGUUAAAGAGUACCUGAAACUGCUGAAAGGGAAGCGAAUCGUAUCCAGUGUCUAUAAUCUGUAGCAUAUUUCAUUGGCGAGUAGGUGCGUGCAGUACGUAAGAAGUGGCUUGCUGCUCUUUGUGCUGUUCUGCAUUUGCUUGUUGGUGCCCUGUGUUGCAGUGGGACGUCAGAGUCAGUUCGUAUGCUGUGAGAAAUGGCUACUGAGGAGGUAGGUUAGGAGCUUGCUCUUGGCUGUUAUAUCUUGGUAGUUAGUUGUCGUGGUUGGGACUGAGGUGCCUACAACGUGCUUUAAAGUCUUUGGGACUCUCGUUUGAUUACCUGUUUGGAUAGCUUGCUAUGCUGACGGUGUAAUUGAGCGAUUGAGAUCUAGAGUAACUUUUGCCGUUCGGGACUUUGACGAAAUGGAGCGAUUCGGCCCGUCUUGAAACACGGACCAAGGAGUCUAACAUGUGUGCAAGUGUUAGGGUGUGGAAACCCCAGCGCGAAAUGAAAGUAAAGGAUGGCGUACGCUGUCUGAGGUAGGAAACCUUUCUUCUGAGAGGUGGCACUAUCGACCGAUCAUGAACCCUCGUGGUGAAAGAUUUGAGUUUGAGCACAUAUGUUGGUACCCGAAAGAUGGUGAACUAUGCCUGAGUAGGGUGAAGCCAGGGGAAACUCUGGUGGAAGCUCGUAGCGAUUCUGACGUGCAAAUCGAUCGUCAAACUUGGGUAUAGGGGCGAAAGACUAAUCGAACCAUCUAGUAGCUGGUUCCCUCCGAAAUUUCCCUCAGGAUAGCAGCAACUUAUUUACGAUAGUUUUAUGAGGUAAAGCGAAUGAUUAGAGGUCUGGGGGAAGAAACUUCCUUCGCCUAUUCUCAAACUUUAAAUCUGUAAGACCUGCAGGUUUCUUAAUUGAACUUGUGGAUGUGAAUAUCAAGUUGCUAGUGGGCCAUACCGGGUAAGCUGGUCUGGCG